AGUUGGUGGUGAAGCAGUCUGAAGUAAAAGACAAAUGGACGAGAGGGAGAAGACAAAAUCGAUACAUGAAGAAACUGUUCAUCCUUCGAGGUUUUGCCAGGAGUUGGAAAGACAGAGACGGCAAAAAAACUCUGGGACGAACAUGCAAGACUUGGACUGAAAGGAGACAUUUUCUCCGCUGACAAGUACCAUGAAAGAACCAACUACACCAAAGGAAACUUUCAACACAACCAUCAGCAGAAUAGAGAGGAUGUUUUUAAAGCCAUGAACAGAGGUGUGGAUCCGAUCAUCGUUGACAACACAAACAUUUCUCUUUGGGAGAUGUGGCCCUAUAUCCACAUGGGGAUUGGACAGAAGAACUAUUACAUCAUAAUGGUGGAACUGCCUAAAGGCUAUCCUCAGAACAAAAUCUCCAUCAACAAGCUGUACAGACGGUGUCGUGGUAAAAUCCCCAAGCGUAAGUUCAGGUCCUUUGAGGCUCGCUGGAAAAAAGCUGACAGCAUCUGGCAUGUACUUAACGACGGCUACUCCAAAAACCGCUGGAAGAGAAGCAGAGAGGAAUGGAACGUCCAGUGAUGAAGACAUGCUGGUCUUCUCCCCCCCCCCCCAAAGUCUCCAAAAUACAGAAAA